rnacentral:rRNA from 1 species
UACGGAGGGUGCGAGCGUUGUCCGGAAUCAUUGGGCGUAAAGAGCGUGUAGGCGGCCCGGUAAGUCCGCUGUGAAAGUCCAGGGCUCAACCCUGGGAUGCCGGUGGAUACUGUCGGGCUCGAGUCCGGAAGAGGCGAGUGGAAUUCCUGGUGUAGCGGUGAAAUGCGCAGAUAUCAGGAGGAGCACCGGUGGCGAAGGCGGCUAUCUGGACAGAAACUGACGCUGAGGCGCGAAAGCUAGGGGAGCAAACAGG